UCUGUAGGCAGCAGUUGGAACAGCUCACAGCACCUAGUAAAACUUGUGCAUAUAUUUUCCUAAAAUAUCUAAAGCAAAAUUCUUAUGUUUCCCUCCACUACUAGACAUGGUGGUGUCUGUGUUAAAAUAGAGUAGCAGACAGACCCAUUUGCUGACUGUCUGAACGGGAGCUCUUGGUGAAUAAAGCUUAGCCUAAAAAAGAUAUUGUCCCAUUAUGUGUCUUUAUAAACGUGUCUGUCUGUCUGUCUGUCUGUGUGCACAAAUAUUCACUCCUAGAGAAGAAUACAUUUAGGGAAAAUGAUUUGCACCUGACUUGAGUACUGGCCAACUACAGAAAGGCUGUCACCUCAUCCAUGUAGGUCCCAUCUCUCCACAAAAUGUGGUCAGGUUUCCAGGGACAUUUCUUGCUUUGAAAAUUCUCCACAUGGCCUUUGAAUUGUGAGUGGUCUCUCUUGGGACAGACAGAUGAAAAUAAGGUUUAUUAAAGAAAGCUACAACAUUCUUACAUAACACGUUGUCAAACAGAGUGAAGAAAAAUCGUCUGUGACUAUUUCUGUGUGUGCAAAAUUUGUCACCCAUGAUUUUUUUUCUACUUCAUAUCUGGAUAUCAGCGUCAACCCAACAUUCUCUAUUUUUUUCUCCAGGUUUCCCCAGGGGAAAAAAUGCCCUUCCAGUAAAGGGGCUGUCAGAACGUCCUUGCUCUGGAAAGCCAUCCGUCAGGCUUUCUUUCAAACUUGUAGGAAGUGGCAGUAGAUUGAUGACCUCUGAUCUGCUGCGUGUCAGGAGGAAAUGUGGCGGGAAAAGGUGGUAACGUGGGACGCAGGAAGGAAGUGGAGGCCGUGGCCUCUGAGGGGCCGCUGGGGGCCCCGUAAGACAGGUCGGUCACACCUGGUAUCGAUUCUCAUCUUCCACCGCUCUUUCCCAUGAACAGGCUCUUCCACCAGCGUGGUCAGCUCCCUGGAGCCGGCUUUCUGGCCUCCGAGGCUGUUAGCGUCGCAUCCCAUGUACGCAGCGUGACUCCCACACCCCUACACCAGGCCCAAGCCCAGGGCCUCCUCACCACACAGGGUUUCAUGGUUGGCGGGACAUGGGCCCCUUCUUCAAUGAAAUUAAGAAAACGCGAGACUUCCUACAUUGAUAUUCAGUUCACAACCAAUAUGUCAACACACGGCCAGGCUGCUGGGCCACAAUACCAUAGGCUGGUGGCUUAUAUACGACAGAAUCCGUUCCCUACAGCCCUGGAGGCUGGAAGUCCAAGAUCAGGGCGUCCACAGACUCAGUGUCUAAGGAGAUCCCCCCGUCCUGGUUCACAGAAGGCGUCUUCUCACUGAUUUGGAGGAAGUGAAUAUUUGGUAAGCAUCUACUGUGUGCCACCGAUCCGGUUAAGUGAUGGGCAAGAAGUAGUGGCCAAAACAAGAACCAAAAAGAGUUCCUGGGUCCUGCCUCAUGGAAGGCUGCUGAGGUUUGCCAGGCAUCCAAGACCCUGCCCUUGACGUAUAACCUCCAAGGCCUUGCAAUCCACAGCAAGAGGCCCAAGCCCACCCCACCCCCAAACAGUGCACCUGUUUAAACCAUCUGCAGAACCCAAACAGAAUGCAUUUUCCUGACACUUCGUUUAUACUAAUGGAAUUCAUAGGAGAAAAGCUGCAUUCUUCGGUCUAGGUGUCUGUGGGGACACGGCUAGGUCUUCCCCAACCUGUCUACACAGGUAGUGCUAACAAACGUUUACAGGCAGAAGCCUGUUAGAAAUCUUCCAUUGAUUAGCUUGCCUCGGAAAUGAAGAAAUGGAAGCAUCUGAUCAGAUAGAGUGUAAGAUGACUGGAAUCCUGGCAGACACAACACAAAAUGUAUUUACAACACACCAGUAGGACCACUGCUCAAUGCAGUUUCCAUCUCUUAAAUGUGUCCAUUUGGAGAAGGACGUACUAACUAUCUCCUAAGUAGAUCAUUUGUUUAAGGAUCUUUUAACACCAAGAGAUAUUAUCAUGCUUGCAUUUGAAAACGCUGUGCCCCUGAGCACCUGUUGUUUAAGAAUGAACCAACCGUCCUAGCCACACAUGUAUGAAAGUCAGAUACUAUUCUAAUUUGGACAGAUUAGCUAACAGGCAAGAAUACAGCCUUUGGUAAUGCCCUAAAUCUAGAGAAGACUCUUCUUCCAUUUCAUUACUUUUUUUCCAUUUAUCUGAUUUUAUUAAUACCUAUUAUUCACAUUUUACUGCCCUUCUACUGGUUUUCUACUUGAAGAAGGAUCGGAAGUAUGUGAAGAUCUCAAAUGUUAGAAGCAGAACUUAUCAUUCAUGACUUAACUCCAUAAUGUCAAAAAUAUGGCUUUGUUAAAACUAAAAAUUAAGCAAUUGUGGGAAACAAGGCUAAUGAAUGAGACAUAGUGACAUGAUGAUCAGGAAUGUGUCAGGUCUGAGAUUCCACUACCCAUCUUGCCCAGAAUUCUUUGCUAUUCUAAAGACAGUGCCCUGAGCACAGAAAUCAAUGCGGGUUUUUUUUAAUUAGCAUUAUUUUAUUUAAUAAUAUAGUUUCCUAAGUGAAAAUCUAUGUAAAAACCUGCUUAUAUAAAAAUGUCAAGACUUAAAAAAAGACUCAUAAAAACCAUUAUUAAUGAAUGAAAAGCUAUUAUUAGCAAAUUUUCCAAGAUUUAAUCCAUGUUAGUUAUACAGCUACUUAAGAAUACAGGGCAGUCAGAAAGGUACAUCAUAUAUUAUAUAGUUGCUCAAUCUGAUUUAGAAGAAAAGACAUUUUAAAUUACAUUAACAUUACUUCUAAAUUUUAGUAGUUGUAAGGAGGUGUAUGCAAGUGAGAGAAAUUUUCAUUUAAAUUAUAAUUUCUUUACAUGAUUAUAUAUAAUAUAUGUAAUUGCCACAACUCUAAUCAAAACAUUUGGAAGGCGGUGGGGACCACGGAGCACAGAAAUGAUGAAAUGACAGACAUACCCAGAAUAAGUGUAGGAUGAAGUUAAAACAUUUUGAAAAGCAACAUUGAGUGGGAAUUAACAAAUACUGGAAAGAACUGUGAAGUGACAGUCACAGAACAGUGGGACAAUGGUUCAGGAUCAACAUAUAAAUGUAAGUUCCAGAAAUAUUUCCAAAGCUGAGUAUAAGCUACAACCCAGUUUCCCACACAAGCAACAGUCACCUCUGUGUCCAGCAGUUCCCUGUUUGCCAUCCUCAGUCAUCAGAGCAAACCGCACCUCAUUCCUCAGCGGUCCCCUUGCCCCUCGAGUCCCAGGCAGUGACACCCACUGGCCUCUUGCAUCGAGCCCUGAAUGUAUCCUCACACUGGUUUUUGGAGGGGGAGGAAAUAGAUUAAUUUAGUUUUAAAAUACAUCAAUAGUCAGUUACCUCUUUUUUUUUUUUAC